rnacentral:lncRNA from 1 species
CAGCCACAACUACACGAAAGUAUAGGAAAAUAUACAGAUAUACACGGUGGUAGUAUCAAAGCAGCAGCAAGGAAAUACAAGGCUCACACAAAUUCAAAGGAAUACUCCCAAAACAAAACUAAACUCAAUUAGGGGGCAAACACCACCGGACUCAACACCCACCGCCCCAAAUACAGGUUCCCAGCCAAUACCCAAUCCCAAGCAGUGGAAGAAACGACCACAGCAACAGCAACAACAGACAACAGACAAUGUCCACAAAUUCCACGCAAGUCAAGGUACAGGAGCUACUACUAGCCUAAUACUAAAUAAAAUGGAAUAUGAAAUAGUGAAAUAAUGAAAUAAAAUGGAAUAUGAAAUAAUGAAAUAAGGAAAUAGAAUGGAAUAUGAAAUAACGAAAAUAAUAAAGGUUAGAAGUCACCGGAUUAUGCUUGGAGCUGCGGCUGCUGGAGACGGAGCGGCGGGUGGCGGCUGGAGACCGGGCGGCGUCUGGCUGGCUGAAGGCCGAGGUGGGGGGGAGGGCUGGUGUAC